UAUUUCACAUCCCAUUUCAUGCAUUAGUAUAAAGACUGAAUUGGUUUUACAACAGUUUAGCACAAAUGUAGUAAAUGGCUUAUUGUGCAUUAUGUCUAGGCGGUGAGCAUUCUGGCAAAAGUAAAGAGAUAGUACCUGAGGAUCAAGAAUCGGAGUACUCAGAAUUCGACUCCCGAAAUAGUGAGUAACCUUAUCAUCAUCUUGAUUAUCUGAAGUGAAUUUUAAUUUGUUUUUAUGAUUUUAUGGAAAAUGAGUUUAAAUGGUAAAUCUUUAUGUUUUAGAAGCAAAAUAGGAUUCAAUGAAAAUGAUUUUAUAAAAUUGUCUUGAAAUUGAAUGAUGGUUUUGAAAAUUGAGUAAUUGAAGACUAAUUGCUGUGUUAUAAAUCAUGGUUUGAAUUGAAUGGCUUAUGAUAAUAUUUGCAUGAAUGGCUGAAUUGGUAUUUGUGUUGAAAAUGUAUGAAUUGUCGAUUUGCCUUGAGAGGCUGUAAAAUAAAAUAAUUGCCAUGUCAUGCUAUUACAAAUUUUAUUGAAUUUGUGGGUUAUAUAUUGGUCGCUGUAGUGGACGGGUUCCGUGGACCAGCCUAUUAGAAGGGUACGAUAACCCUAUUAUAUUCUUACCUCAGUAUGAGAGGCGCGGAUGGAUAACUCUUGAAGUUAACACUUUAGAGUUCACUUAACGCCAAACCACCACGUGAGGGUGAACUCAGCCAACACCAAGGAAUGACUUUGUUUUCAAAAUAAAAGCAUGAUUUAUGCGUACAUAACUUUUUAACAGCCUUGGCGGACUUGGUUGGGAUAGCUCUCGGCCAAGGUAUCCUUGAUAAUUGAGUAUGAUAAUGAUUUUGGCACGAGCCAAACUUUUCAGGAAAUCUUAAGCCUCGUUGUUUAUUUUGGUGAAAUGAAUCUAUUUUAUCUCAUUAAAAUGAGUUCGAAA
rnacentral:lncRNA from 1 species